rnacentral:rRNA from 1 species
CCUACGGGAGGCAGCAGUAAGGAAUAUUGGACAAUGGACGCAAGUCUGAUCCAGCCAUGCCGCGUGAAGGAUUAAGGCCCUCUGGGUUGUAAACUUCUUUUAUAGGGGACGAAAAAAGGGCUUUCUAGCUCGACUGACGGUACCCUAUGAAUAAGCACCGGCUAACUCCGUGCCAGCAGCCGCGGUAAUACGGAGGGUGCAAGCGUUAUCCGGAUUCACUGGGUUUAAAGGGUGCGUAGGCGGGCAUUUAAGUCAGUGGUGAAGUCUUCGAGCUCAACUCGGAAACUGCCAUUGAUACUAUUUGUCUUGAAUAUUGUGGAGGUGAGCGGAAUAUGUCAUGUAGCGGUGAAAUGCUUAGAUAUGACAUAGAACACCGAUUGCGAAGGCAGCUCGCUACACAAAUAUUGACGCUGAGGCACGAAAGCGUGGGGAUCAAACAGGAUUAGAUACCCUGGUAGUCCACGCCCUAAACUAUGGAUACUCGACAUUUGCGAUACACAGUAAGUGUCUGAGCGAAAGCAUUAAGUAUCCCACCUGGGAAGUACGACCGCAAGGUUGAAACGUCAAAUGAAUUGACGG